UACGUAGGGUGCAAGCGUUGUCCGGAAUUAUUGGGCGUAAAGAGCUCGGUAGGCGGCUUGUCGCGUCGGCUGUGAAAACCUGGGGCUCAACCCCGGGCCUGCAGCCGAUACGGGCAGCUAGAAUUCGGUAGGGGAGACUGGAAUUCCUGGUGUAGCGGUGAAAUGCGCAGAUAUCAGGGAAGGAACACCAGUGGCGAAGGCGGCUCUCGGCGGA
rnacentral:rRNA from 1 species